GAAAUGCGAUACGUAAUGUGAAUUGCAGAAUUCAGUGAAUCAUCGAAUCUUUGAACGCAUAUUGCGCUCUCUGGUAUUCCGGAGAGCAUGCUUGUUUGAGUAUCAGUAAACACCUCAACUCCCUUUCUUCUUGAAAUGGAGCUGGACUUGAGUGAUCCCAACGCUUUAUUCAUAAAGCGGCGGGUUACUUGAAAUGCAGGUGCAGCUGGACUUUUCUCUGAGCUAUAAGCAUAUCUAUUUAGUCUGCCUCAAAACAGAUUAUUACCUUUGCUGCAGCUAACAUAAAGGAGAUUAGUUCUUGUGCUGACUGAUGCAGGAUUCACAAAGACCGCUUCGGCUGUCUUUGUAAACUCGAUCUCAAAUCAAGUAAGACUACCCGCUGAACUUAA
rnacentral:misc_RNA from 1 species